ensembl:lncRNA
CACAGUCAUGUUGGUUAUGUCUGUGGGCUCCUCGAGGCCGCUGUGAAUCUGAAAGGCAGCCACAAGACGCUGAUAGUAAAAUGUUACAUCUUCAGCUUUACCUUGUUUCGUGCUGUUGAUGAGGGCCAUGUUGACUUGGAAGGCCGCAACCACAGCAGCACAGAUGGCUGUUAUGUCUUUGCAUAACGUCAGGAACUCUUUUCCAAAAGCCACGCCAUUUUUUAUGGUGGGCAGAUGGGAGGCAGGUAGUCCAUCCUGUGGCCCUGGAACUUGAAACAUGGGGGCUUGAAUAUAAGACCCGUCCAGUUUACUGUCCAUGGUGGUGUUAGGACUAAGAAAAUUCACAAUUCUGCCGGCUGUGCCCCUCCAGGGGGAUGGGUCGUGGAUUGACCAUGCAGAGUCCGGGGUGGACUGAGCUGUGGGGUCAGGUCUCAAUGGGUUGAGGGGUGAGCAUGAUUUGACGUCUGCACCUCCCUGGUCUCCCAGCCGGGUUUGACUGCGUGUUACAGGUCUGCCAACCGUAGGAUCGGGGUUGUAUGGUGGUGGUGAUUGUUGGACUGGAGGUGGUGCAGGAAUUUGACAACACGUGUUCAGGAGAGGACCGCCUGCCCCUGUCAGGGAUGGAUACAAUGGAGAAGACACACAUGGAUUAUUCUGUGUUUCAAUGUCAGGUUUUUUCAGUUUUUAAACACGUCAUUUUCUUCAUCAUUCGUUUUCUCUCCCUGCAUUCACAUUCCAUUUCCCAUUGUGCCAGACAUGUCUGGUUUUUCUCUAUUAUUUCCAAGUCUUUAACUUUGAUCUUUUUACCACUUUUCAAUUUUUAUUUUUUUUUAACUUUGCGUCCAAAUCUCCUUUUAACAUUUUAAGUUUAGCGGCACUCAACGAGCCGUUUUCUGGAAACCCAAACUCUUUUGUCCAGUAUGGGAGACACUCUGUACAUGUUUUCCCGUAUUUCUGCUGCAUCAUUGCCACAAUCGGACCCGACGUUCCGUGUGUUUUGCGGACUGGCUACCCAUCUUUUACUGGUGGACCCUACCGGUUUACUUAUUACAAUACAGUCGUCACCGUAAGGCUUAGUUUCUUUACUCACCCGGAAAAACUUUGCAAAAACCCCACUCAAAACUCACGCUUCGAUUUUGCCACGAUCUUGUUCUAAAGGUAAUUCAGUAGAACUCACGUUUGGUUAACAAUAAGAGUGAUAUCGUUUUACCUGCUUCAGCAUAAAAUUCACGUAGGCUAUUUCCACGAUCUUAUUCCACAGGUGGAAUUCACGUGUGGUCAAUAGCAACGGUCUUAUUUGCUAUCUGCGUUACGAUCUCGGAGAAUUUGAUCCGAGUGAAAUCUUUACCGUAAGCAAUCCUGUCUUCUACUUGUAGUCUAGCGAUGUUACGAUCUCAGAGAAUUUGUUUGAAAUCGUACACGAUCCUAUCUACCUUCGCAUAAAAUGAUGCAUUAGAAAUAUCCCGGAAUCAUGUACUCAAAAAAGAUAUUAAAAGAUUAUUAUAAGGAAAAAAAAAAAAAAAUGUUAAAAAAUAAUUUUAUUCCCCAGACUAUAACAACCACUUGUAUAACAACCACUUGAUCAGUCAUCUGUCUCCGUUAUGUUCAACUCUUACUGUUACUUUAUAAUCGGAAUUUCAACUUCUUACCCGAGUUUGCAGAAAUUAAUUCUUCUUCGCUGGAUACGCGUGACGUCAAUCAGGACUCCUCUGGUUUCCGCCGGUCCUUUCUCUCUUGUCUAAGGAGGUAUGAGGCAGGAUCAUCAGCUGGUGAUCCUGGAAAAGGCCUUUUUCCCCGGACGGUCCCCUGGAGCCUGACGGACGGGUGCAGGUCCUAAUGAAGUCUACCAAUCACUCCACCCAUUGAUGAUGGACAAAGACCAAGUCUACAGCACCAUAACACCCAACAAAAGGGAGGGACAGUCUACAUCCCCACUUUGAAGGAUCUCUGCAGCAGCAGCUAUUGCAUCAAUAUUAAAUGCCUGAGUGUUGAAAGAUAAAAUAAGUAUUUUGCAUUUGCUAAAUAAAGCUUGGGACAUACUUUCAUAAUUCCAUGUCAGCGGACAGCUUCACACUUGUACUAGUCGGUAUUUGGUUUUAUAUAAACUUCUUUGAAGACAAAUUGUGCACAGUCCUGGGUUUGCCUGUCAGGACACUCAUGGUCCAAUCACAGAGGGCGGAGGAAAGUCCCAGGUCUCUGAGCCCACUGACGAGCUUAGAGGCCACGAUGGUGCUGAUGCCAGCGGUCCUCAAUGAACAGCGUUUUGCCAUUUGUGUUCCUCCGGUCCAGGUGGAGGUUUGGGUGGAUGCUGAGAGCUUUGCUGGCGUCUGUGGAUGUGUUUGUCAUUCGGGCAGUGGGGUUUGCUCUUUUGGGGGACAGGGACUAUGGUGGUCUUUUUGGAGAAUGUGGGGGAAUACAGUGAAAUGUGUUGUGGAAUAUUUCAAUAAAAGCUCGGUAGAAGAGAAUGAUUUGUCUGAUAAAACAGAGUCUUGAUGAAUGUUUUGAAGCUUCUAUGAGAUCGAGUCGACCGCCCUCCCUUCUCAGGGCACAGCUGCAAACUAACAUUUUGUAUCAUGCUGCUCUUUGCACGUCCGGGUCAAAUACAGGACACUUGAGACACGGCUUUAGCACAAAACAAUGUUAUAACAUAUUUUUACCAUUACAAAUGUUAUAAAUAUCACUGAGCACAUCUGCCAGUUGUUAUGCACAAGCCACAAGAGCUCGGCCGAGGAUGCCUUCAGGUCCAGGUGCCUUUGGUGGCUUAAGAUUUACACACAUCCACCCUGAAUACUGCUGGUGACGCAACAAUGAUGAAGACUGUGGGUAAAACACUUCGUCAUGGCCUUUUAUUUGCUCUAAACUUGACUUACGUUUUAGGGCAGAAAGAAAACGUAAAGUUUGGGACCUCAGAAGAACGUUUUGUUUUAGAAUUGGUGCGUCUCAAUCUGCUAACAUGCUCAUCUUUCAUUGUGUCAUACACACUUAGUUUUUGUGUUGUAAGUGUCAAAUUGUCGGCCUUUUACAUUUAGAUUGUGUACUUUUCUUUUCUUCAAAUUCAGAAUAAAUGUUUUUUUUCUUUAUGUGAAUGGCAUCUGGUUUUGUGCACACUGACAUAAUCUUACACUGUGUUGGAGAGACAUUCACC